GCCUUCGUGGUGUAGUGGUCAGCACGCUCGACGCGUAACCGAGAGGCCAGUGGUUCGAUUCCCGUGGAAGGCG
rnacentral:tRNA from 1 species